rnacentral:lncRNA from 1 species
UCACAUGUUCUUUAAUGAUUAUAACGGUGUACUUGUACUAAUCAACAACCCAGACAAAUUUCUCCACCCUAGCCAAUUUGCCAUUUCCCCCAGGCAACAAACACAACGACCCAAACUAUAAAAACAUAGGUCCCACCUACAAAUUAAUUUAAAGCUGCUUUUCUUUUCUUUUUUCAUUCACUAGAUUCAAACAAAUAAAAAUAUUAAUAUAUUAUAUUU